GAUGAACGCUGGCGGCGUGCCUAAUACAUGCAAGUCGAGCGAACAGACGAGGAGCUUGCUCCCCUGACGUUAGCGGCGGACGGGUGAGUAACACGUGGAUAACCUACCUAUAAGACUGGGAUAACUUCGGGAAACCGUAGCUAAUACCGGAUAAUAUAUUGAACCGCAUGGUUCAAUAGUGAAAGUCGCUUUUGCUGUCACUAAUAGAUGGAUCCGCGCCGCAUUAGCUAGUUGGUAAGGUAGCGGCUUACCAAGGCAGCGAUGCGUAGCCGCCCUGAGAGGGUGAUUCGCCACCCUGGAUCUGAGACUCGGUCCAGACUCCUAGGGGAGGCCGCAGUCGGGAAUCUUCCGCAAUGGAGGAGUGCCGGACGGAGCAAAGCCGCGUGAGGGAUGAAGGUCUUCGGAUCGUUGAGCUAUGUUAGUAGGAAGGAAGAAAUGUGUAAGUAACUAUGCACGUAUUGACGGUACCGAGUCAGAAAGCCACGGCUAACUACGUG
rnacentral:rRNA from 1 species